UACAUGGGGUGCAAACGUUGCUCGGAAUUAUUGGGCGUAAAGCGCGCGUAGGCGGUUCGUUAAGUCGGAUGUGAAAGCCCUCGGCUCAACUGAGGAAGUGCACCCGAAACUGGCGAGCUUGAGUACGAAAGAGGAUCGCGGAAUUCCCGGUGUAGAGGUGAAAUUCGUAGAUAUCGGGAGGAACACCGGUGGCGAAGGCGGCGAGCUGGGUCGAUACUGACGCUGAGGUGCGAAAGCGUGGGGAGCAAACAGG
rnacentral:rRNA from 1 species